rnacentral:snRNA from 1 species
AUACCUUUCUCGGCCUUUUGGCUAAGAUCAAGUGUAGUAUC